GAUGCACUGCCUGAUGGAACUGAACUAGCUUAUUUUGUUCGUGGGCAGGUUGUUAAGAUGAGCAUAUACAUAUUAUUAUUUUGGUUUAAGGAAAUGUUUAUGUUGCUUUUUAUAAAGAUCAAAUGUAUUAAACAAUUAACAUAUUUUUUUAUUUUUGUGGAAGCAACGCUUUCCUAGUGAAGCGCUUUGUUGUGAUAUGUAUUUGUUUUCUGAUUACUUGUCAUCUACAGAAAUGCGCAGAAGGUUAUAAGAAGGGUUUUGGAAUAUUUUGCUUUUGCUGCCAAAGUGGGGUCAGCCCUUCUCAGUUUGAAGCACAUGCGGGUUGGGCUUCUCGUCGCAAGCCGGGCCAUGGUUUCAGCAAAUUAGUAUUUGGCCCU